AUUGAACGCUGGCGGCAUGCCUAACACAUGCAAGUCGAACGAGUGGCGGACGGGUGAGCAAUGUCUGGGAACCUGCCUGAUGGAGGGGGAUAACUACUGGAAACCGUAGCUAAUACCGCAUACCAUCAGAUGUGCCCAGAGGGGAUUAGCUUGUUGGUGGGGUAACGGCUCACCAAGGCGACGAUCCCUAGCUGGUCUGCGAGGAUGACCAGCCACACUGGAACUGAGACACGGCCCAGACUCCUACGGGAGGCAGCAGUGGGGAAUAUUGCGCAAUGGACGAAAGCCUGAUGCAGCCAUGCCGCGUGGAUGAAGAAGGCCUUCGGGUUGUAAAGUACUGUCGGCGGGGAGGCGGUACCCGAAGAAGAAGCACCGGCUAACUACGUGCCAGCCGCCGCGGUAAUAC
rnacentral:rRNA from 1 species